rnacentral:rRNA from 1 species
AGCUCCAAUAGCGUAUAUUAAAGUUGUUGCAGUUAAAAAGCUCGUAGUUGGAUUUCUGGGAGGGUGCCAAUGUCCGCCAACGUGCGUGUGCAGCGGCGCCCUUCCAUCCUUCUGUUAACGCCUCUUGGCAUUCAUUUGCUGGUAGCGGGCUCAGAUAUUUUACCUUGAGAAAAUUAGAGUGUUUCAGGCAGGCUUGGCCGGAAUACAUUAGCAUGGAAUAAUGGAAUAGGACUAUGGUCUCUUUGUUGGUUUGAGGGACUGCAGUAAUGAUUAAUAGGGAUAGUUGGGGGCAUUAGUAUUUAAUUGUCAGAGGUGGAAUUCUCAGAUUUGUUAAAGACUAACUUAUGCGAAAGCAUUUGCCAAGGAUGUUUUCAUUA